rnacentral:rRNA from 1 species
UACGUAGGGUGCGAGCGUUAAUCGGAAUUACUGGGCGUAAAGCGUGCGCAGGCGGUUCGUUGUGUCUGUGGUGAAAGCCCCGGGCUUAACCUGGGAAUGGCCAUGGAAACUGGCGAGCUGGAGUGUGGCAGAGGGGGGUGGAAUUCCGCGUGUAGCAGUGAAAUGCGUAGAGAUGCGGAGGAACACCGAUGGCGAAGGCAGCCUCCUGGGCCAGCACUGACGCUCAUGCACGGAAGCGUGGGGAGCAAACAGG